CCUACGGGGGGCUGCAGUAGGGAAUAUUGGUAAUGUGCGAAAGCGCGAACCAGCAACGCCGCGUGCACGAUGAAGGCCUUCGGGUCGUAAAGUGCUUUUAGAGAGGAUGAGGAAGGACAGUACUUUCUGAAUAAGCCUCGGCUAACUACGUGCCAGCAGCCGCGGUAAAACGUAGGAGGCAAGCGUUAUCCGGAUUUACUGGGCGUAAAGCGCAUGCAGGUGGUUUUGUAAGUUGGAUGUGAAAGCUCCUGGCUUAACUGGGAGAGGUCGUUCAAAACUACAAGACUUGAGAUUGGUAGAGGAAAAUGGAAUUCCGGGUGUAGUGGUGAAAUGCGUAGAUAUCCGGAGGAACACCAGUGGCGAAAGCGGUUUUCUGGACCAAUUCUGACACUCAGAUGCGAAAGCUAGGGUAGCAAACGGGCUUAGAUACCCUUGUAGUC
rnacentral:rRNA from 1 species